rnacentral:misc_RNA from 1 species
ACUACAUAUUGAAAUAAAGGAGGCAAAACAGCAAGGCUGUCAUCAAGAAGAAUCUAGAAUAUCUUUUUCUGAAGAAGAUCAAGCAUGAAAGCAAAGGAUUCCAUGUUGAGAAGCUAAAAGAAAACAAAUAUGCUUACAAAUUGAUUAUGGAUCCUAAUCAGACUGUUGAGCUAUUCAAAGACUGCUCUAAGGAUGCAAUAAGUGUGCUUCAAAGAAG